UGGGGCCGAGUAAUGCAGUCGCCAAAGUCUCCCCGGGACUCUGAGCAACCCUACUUAUAAAAUCCCACCAGUGACGUGAAUUUUGGAUAGGAAAAGGAGAUUCAUCUCACUCGCCUGGAAUUGGACAGACACAGAGGCUGGGAAGAAUACUUGAGGACAAUGCCAUGCUCCACCUCACAGAACAAGAGAUCCUCCACAUCAGUUAAGGACUAAUGUGAAAGGGCAAAAAGGAGCCCUGCUCCUUCUCCAGCACCAGAAAAGCCGGUCAGUAGAGAAAGGUGUAAACCAGGUGCAAAUGGGGACCUUUGGAUUCUGUGUAUGAAGGGCAGGAUCACUGAGAUACAUCGAAGUUGUGGGAGUUAAAAAAAAAAGUGGUCUGUCUGUAUGGGUUACAUUAUUCUUUCAGUAUAUAUUAUUUUUGUUAUUAAGUUUCAUGAAAUUGUACCAUUAAUAAUCCUGUAUAUGUUACUUUCCUUGUAGUUAUCACUGCAGUCAAUUGCAAAUAUUAUUUUACUCUUUUAAUGUUAUUUUACUAUUUUAACUGGAAUACAGCCUUGAAAGUGCAAGCACUAUUCAUAAAUGCAAUGUUGAGAUUAUUAAAGCUAGAGAUACGUGAACAUAGUAAAAGAUGAGAAAAAUGUAUUUGGGUUAAUUUGUGGGCUUCUGUUCUGUAAGCAUAAACUUCGGAAGUCUCUUAAAAACCUCUUGUGUAUUCUCAGAAACAUCCUUAACUCAUUAUAAGCUGAACUGUCACUUUUAUUAUUGUGUGUAUUAGACAUUGCUUAAAAUUAAAAACAUUAAUCAGAAAACUGCUGUCCUAACCAAAGAAAAUAUUGCCCAGUCUAAAAUUCAAAUAUUAAAUUAUUUAAUUUACAAUAUGUGGGGUUCACAAGAUCAGGAUACAGUGUAUAGUGCCUUUAUGUCACUGUAUGCAUGUGUAUAUGUAUCACAAGCUUUGUAUUGCAAAUUGCAGAACACUGAAGUAGAAAUUGUGCCAAAUCUAUGACGCAUACUAUUAAAAAGUAUCUUCAGCACCUUCAUGAAUGGAGAAUAUUUCUGGCCAGAAUCCAGAAGCUGUGGGAUAAAUCUGGGCAAGUGGCUGCAGAAAUCCAUUCACAAAGGACUUCAGGGCCAGGGGCUUCAUUCACAUGUAUAAAUAAUGCAAAAUUAUUUUUCUUUGAGAAGGCAGAAGUCCUUGUGGGGACAAAGUUGGUUACAAGAUGGUUACAAGACUUAAUAAAAAUUGUUAAUUAAAAACAAUGGUAUUUCGUUGGGAUUACUGCUUGGCUUCUGUGAGUAUCUGUGCGACAGAUAACCACAUUCACACAAUGAUCAGUGAUGCAUACCUUCAGACAUGAAUAUUCCUCACUAAAUAUGAAAGGAUGUCAACAAAGUCACACUUCUGUAGACUUACUCAAACCUGUUAUUGUUUCAAUGAAACCUACCAUUGCUAUAAAUUGAAUGGCGCUGCAGGAAGGGAUUCUCAUUCAUCUUCAGGUAACUGACGGGAUUGGGUGGGGAGUUAUUCUCACCUCUUCACUUUUAAUGUCAAAUAGAUAGGCACUGUCUCCUCCUGUCAGACCUUAUCCAGACAGCAACAGAAUUUAAGGCUAACUAUGUCCCUUUUCAAUUUUGACUUUGUUUUUUUCUUUUGUAAAAAGAUGGUAUACGUAUAUGUGUGUAUCUCUCUGUGUCUGUUAAUUAUUCAGUUACACAAAAAAGAAGCCCUAUGCAUCUUUGAAGACCUCCUGCCUUCCUGAUAAGAACUGCAUAUAGACAUAGCGAAAUUAGUCAAUAGUUAGUCCUCGGGGAAAAAUUAGUUUUUUUCCUACAAUAAUUCAGAAGAUAUUAUUUAGCAAACAGGAGUCAAAUCUACUUUGAUAUGCAUUCUACUUGUUGAAUAGACAAAGAGAUCAGAAUAAACAGAACAAAUAUGAU